rnacentral:lncRNA from 10 species
UGCAAUUAUACAGGCAGUAGGAAAAAAAUCAAGCAACUUAACCACAUAAAAUGGAGGGGUCAAUAAAUAUCCAAUUCUUAUCUCAGGGGUCCCUCUGUCAAGGUCUAACAAAGAAAGUGACCCUAGUAAAAUCCAUAGCUGCUUAUAAAAUUAAUGGUUCUUCAAAUGAUAACAAACUACUCUUCAUGGCCCAAAGUAAGUAUAUGUGACACUUCUUCUUCUUGGAUUCCUGAAUCACAGGAUUGAAAUACGGACACAUCACUUGAUCAUUCUCUGUGUUCCUGGCAUGGCUGUAUUUAAGGGAUGAAAUACACCUGCUGCUUGUUAAGUUAGAAUGCUGCCUUCCCUAAUCUUUAGGAGUUAAAGGGUUUCAUACUUCUCAAAAGUUAUAAUUAGUUUGAAAUAUUUCUAAAUGACACCCUCUGAUAACAACAGACGUCUAGCAUUCAUUUUAUUUUUUUGAGACAGAGUCUCACUGUUACCCAGGCUGGAGUGCAGUGGCGCAAUCUCAGCUCACUGCAACCUGCCUCCCAGGUUCAAGCGAUUCUCCUGCCUCAGCCUCCUGAGUAGCUGGGAGUACAGGCAUGUACCACCACACCCGGCUACUUUUUUGUAUUUUUAGUAGAGACAGGGUUUCACCAUGUUGCCCAGGCUGGUCUUGAACUCCUGAGCUCACGUGAUCCGCCCACCUCAGCCUCCCAAAGUGCUAGAAUUACAGGCGUGAGCCACCAGGCCUGGCCACAUUUGUUAUUUUUAAUUUGGUAAAAAUGUUGAAAAUUUGCUAUUGAAGAAAAC